UUGAGUGGCGAACGGGUGAGUAACACGUGGGCAACCUGCCCAAAAGAGGGGGAUAACACUUGGAAAUAGGUGCUAAUACCGCAUAAGCGCACGGGGCUGCAUGGCCCAGUGUGAAAAACUCCGGUGGUAUAAGAUGGACCCGCGUCUGAUUAGCUUGUUGGCGGGGUAACGGCCCACCAAGGCGACGAUCAGUAGCCGGCCUGAGAGGGUGGACGGCCACAUUGGGACUGAGAUACGGCCCAGACUCCUACGGAAGGCAGCAG
rnacentral:rRNA from 1 species